UCGUAUGUAUGCAGUAGGCAGCGGCUUGGCUCUGCUCCUGGCAUUGCUGUAGUCCAUGGGCGACGGUAACCACUUACCAUCAAGUGGGCCGUACGCUCGUCUGCCUACAAAGAGGCAAUAAAAAAAAUGUAUGAAAUUAUUGUGAAGUGACGAAUUUGAUAAAUUGCGCUCAAGAAUACGUUGAUAUUGAACCAAUAUUGGUUAAUUAAUGUUAUCUAUAGUACUUUACAACAGUAUAAUUUAACUGUUCGCUGAACCGUAUUAGUGUUAUUGAUUGUACAAUUAGGUACAUAAUCUCGAAUACCAAACUAGUGAAUCAUUCUGUUUUUCAGUUCAUUUGAAAUUAAGGCAACAUUGCGAUUCGUUUUACGCAAAUAAUUGAGACAUUUCAGAUACACUAUUAAACUGUAAAUUUAUAAUCUUACAGAGUAAUUAAAAUGCUUUCACCAUGGUAAAAUUCUUAGGAGGAAAACCUUUUUUUUAAGGAUCAAUGAAUUUUUAAACACACUUUUCAGGGAUUUUUUUUCUUUUAUUCUAUUAAGAUUGGACUCAAAAUAAGACUUUGCGUAGAGCUACAUAUGGAUAAAAAUAGUUUAAUAAUAGUUGGGCUAUUAUUAUACCUCUUUUGUUAAAAAAAUAAUAGACACGUAAACUAAAUUUCUUUAUAAUAUUUUUUGUCUCAGAUUGUUGUCAACUAAAAAAGAUGGGUUUUAAUUCAAACAACCUAUGCUGUUACAUUGUGUUGCGUUUAUUUGAUUGAAGCUGUAGAUCGAUCAGAUAUCUAAGUAUUUAAGUCCUGUUUAAAAUUAUAUCGUUUUGAAUCUAAACAAACAUUUGCACAAAUUCCGGAAGUUUUGCAUACGUUAGAUGCUCUGUAAAUAGGCAAUUCAAAAAUAAUAUUUCUUAAAGGUUACAUUAUUUUUCAUCUAAAAUGCAUCAUGGAUUGUUAUCACCUGCCAGUCACCAACGAAAACCACAUGGUGGUCGAAACCUUGACAUUCCGAGCGUUAAAAAUAAUUCUCUAUUUCAGUUAAACGUAUUCUAAAACGACUUUCGUUCUACUUCUCACACAGUAAGGUUUGGAUUACUUUGAAAGUUGCUUGUUUAAUGGUAGCCCGCAUUUGGGGUGAAUUCUUUUACGACAUUCGCCACCCCUGCUGCGCCUGCGCACGUGGUGCAAGGGGAACGAGGGAACUACGGCAGAUGUUCCAUUUGUAAAACUGCCUAUAUAGUUAUCCAUGCGUAGUUAACUGUAUUUUUUUUACUAUGAAUAACUGAGCAUUGAUUCAGGCAUAUUAUAACGUGGACGUUUUAAAAUUGGAAUACAUAUUUGAACUUAUUAUGUAAUACCUACUUACCUACUUACCAUUUGUUAAUAUAGACAUGUUUGUUAGACUGUAUCUGCUUAGUUUUUUUUAUUAUUAUUAAACGAAUUAAAAAAAAAAUUAUAUCAUAGAUAUGCCAAUAAAAUUCGAUUUAAUACACUGUAUACCUAGGUAGUAUUGUUUGGUAAUGCUUAUCUAGUUUAAAGCGAAAUUUUAACGGAAAUUCUUUGCUGGGCGUCCGGUUUAGUGUGUGUUUUUGAUAAAACUGUUUACUGUAUAAUACUUAUAAUACUUUACAUAUCGUUGACGUAUAAUAAUAUAUUCUUUUUACAUUUAACAUCAAAACGUUUUUAAGGUAUAAUCAACGAAUAUGAAUUUUUAAACAGCUACAGAGCCUUAAUGAGAUUGAUACGCGUUCUAAUUAUUCUAAGAUUCCAUUGUUUUAUGUACCUACUCAGCAUAAAUCAAAUUUUAAAGGCAACAAGCUUACAGAAUAAUUAAGGCUGGGAAGAUCAUAAUAAUUUUGUUUUUCGUUAAUAAUGAAUUUUCAGCAUAUUAAAAUAUUCUAGAGCGAAAAUGUAUUUGGCAAUUGGAAUUAAUUUAGGUAAUAAUAACUAUCGUGUUUUAUACAUUUAUAUUUGUAGAUUAUUUGGAUUGAUUUGAUAAAGAGCAGAUAUAUCCUAAAUUGUUUACCGCAAACGUCCAAAUAUCUAUACGAAUGCAUAAAAUAACCAACUAAAAUGAAUAAAAUGAUUUAUAAAUACGAUGAGUAUGAUGGUCUUGAGCAAUCAGUGAACGUUUUAUCGUGUCGUUAUCAACGUGCGGGCCACAUGCAUGUGUACCGCGCGAAUGUUCGCAUUCCACGCUAUUAUGUUCGCGAGAUUCCACGCCGUGGACUAGCUAUCAGCCUUCGCCGAAUACCGAAGUACUUAGAGGCGAAAUUUUUUGUACUCGCCAAUUGCAAAUCGAACCGGUGUGUUUUAAUAUUUUUAAUAAAAGAAACAAUGCUGCUGUAGCUGGUAACAAAUGGCCGGACCAGAUACGGUCCACGUUGCUAUCCACAAAGCCGAGGAUAGGCAGGAAUGGCGCAGGAUAAUACAGGAGAAAGUUUUUAGAGGAGGCCACAACCCUCAGCAUUGAGGAUUAUUGACGCAAGGAGGAGGAAUAAAAGAAAAUAUACUACUUCUUUGUAUACUGAACUACAUUGUUUCGUUAAAUUUCAAAUGUCAUCGGUAGAUCGCAGGGUGUUUCGUCAGUAGACAGUAGAUCUUAGUUCUGGUAAUCAAGUAGGCCACCCCUGGUCUAGAAUUACAAAAAGAGUUGUUUUACGAAACGCAAGGGCCGUUCGCGGGAUAGCAGCGGUCUGGGUUGUAAGUGGUUUGGUACGUCUUGACUUGUUCCGGCACACGGAAUCAUCUUCAAAGGCCUCUUAGAAGACGAAGCCCCACACCUUUGGCAGUGAUCCCGCCGAACGCCCAACGGUCUUUGCCACCACCACAUGCCGUCCGCGUAAACUCUAUGGCCGUCCUCAUCAAGGCCCGUACUGUCGUUUCCUAUAUAACUAUCGUAUUUAUCGUACCCUGAUCUAACGUAUGUUGGGGAGCUGCCAUUGUUGUACUUCGACCAAUUCCUUUCCGACCAAGUCGAUUCGCUGUCGCAUGGUGUGACUGGUGCACUUUGAAUCAUUUUCGGCGGGUGGUAGAACUUCGACUCGUCUGUAAGGGAUCCUCGCUUCUGGAAAUUUAAAUUAGGUAUGUAACGGUAGAUGCCCGAGGGUAUUUGUUGGAUGAUAGUAUCUAUACACUUUGAGAAGGCGGCACGACAUGAGAACCCUCUUGUCGUGGCCGUUGGAAACUACAUACCCGAGCCUGUAGACCGAAUGGUAAACACAAGCCUUGGCAAGAGCAGUGCUUCGCAGAAUCUACCACCGGAUCAGAAACCUUCAAGAUAUCUUAUUUCGCAAUAAGAUAUUGGUUCUGCAUUAUACGAGUAGGUAUAUUACCAAUAACGUAUCAAUCAGUGCUUGUUCUAAAUAACUUUUACUUGACAGCAAAGUAAAAAAUAGAUAUUCUGUAAUGCAACGUAACAUAUCAAUAUUGACAACGCCUAGAUUGAGAACAUUCCUAUGCUUUAUCGAAUGGUACGAAAGUAAAUUGAAAUUUUGCAUUAUUUCACUUUAAAGGUUCGGACUAUUUUGAUAGACCACUGUAAAUUUUCAUAAUAGCACACCGUAAUAUACCUGCUGUAUCUUUUUCAGAAUUUCUCUAGAUAAAGCGUUUGUCUAGAAGAGAUCGCUUUUAGUGAUAAGACCGCUUAUUGUACCUGGCUUUUGGCUAUUUUUAAAUCUUAUUUGUGUAAUGGUGUGCAAUAAAGUAUAUUCGCUCUCUC